GCCUGUAGUCUAGUGGUUAAGGUUCAUGACUGGGAUGCUUGAGGUUGGUGGUUCAAGACCCAGUCCAGUCA
rnacentral:tRNA from 1 species